rnacentral:rRNA from 1 species
AUUGAACGCUGGCGGCAGGCCUAACACAUGCAAGUCGAACGAGUGGCGGACGGGUGAGUAAUGUCUGGGAAACUGCCUGAUGGAGGGGGAUAACUACUGGAAACGGUAGCUAAUACCGCAUACCAUCAGAUGUGCCCAGAUGGGAUUAGCUUGUUGGUGGGGUAACGGCUCACCAAGGCGACGAUCCCUAGCUGGUCUGAGAGGAUGACCAGCCAACGUGGAAUUGGUACACGGUCCAGACUCCUACGGUAGGCAGCAGUGGGCAAGAUUGCACACUGGGCGCAAGCCUGAUGCAGCCAUGCGGGGGGGAUGAAGAGGGCCUUCGGUUUGUAAACUACUUUCAGCGGGGAGACGUUACUUUCAGAAGAAGCACCGGCUAACUCCGUGCCAGCGGCGCGGUAAUUC